AAAGGUGUGCUAAUACCGCAUAAUCUCUCAGGAGAAAAGCAGGGGAUCGCAAGACCUUGCGCUUUAGGAGCGGCCGAUGCCUGAUUAGCUUGUUGGUAAGGUAAAAGCUUACCAAGGCUUCGAUCAGUAGCUGGUCUGAGAGGACGACCAGCCACACUGGGACUGAGACACGGCCCAGACUCCUACGGGAGGCAGCAGUGGGGAAUUUUGGACAAUGGGGGAAACCCUGAUCCAGCCAUGCCGCGUGAGUGAAGAAGGCCUUCGGGUUGUAAAGCUCUUUCAGCCGGAACGAAACGGUUACGAUUAAUACUCGUAAUUAAUGACGGUACCGGCAGAAGAAGCACCGGCUAACUACGUGCCAGCAGCCGCGGUAAUACGUAGGGUGCGAGCGUUAAUCGGAAUUACUGGGCGUAAAGGGUCCGCAGGUUGUUUUGUAAGUCAGAUGUGAAAGCCCCGGGCUUAACCUGGGAACUGCGUCUGAAACUACAAGGCUAGAGUAUGGCAGAGGGGGGUGGAAUUCCGCGUGUAGCAGUGAAAUGCGUAGAUAUGUGGAGGAACACCGAUGGCGAAGGCAGCCCCCUGGGUCAAUACUGACGCUGAGGGACGAAAGCAUGGGGAGCAAACAGGAUUAGAUACCCUGGUAGUCCAUGCCCUAAACGAUGUCAACUAGUUGUCGGGCCUUUACGGGCUUGGUAACGUAGCUAACGCGUGAAGUUGACCGCCUGGGGAGUACGAUCGCAAGAUUAAAACUCAGAUGAAUUGACGGGGACCCGCACAAGCGGUGGAUUAUGUGGAUUAAUUCGAUGCAACGCGAAAAACCUUACCUACCCUUGACAUGUAUCGAAGCCCGCAGAAAAGCGGGGGUACCCGAAAGGGAACGAUAACACAGGUGCUGCAUGGCUGUCGUCAGCUCGUGUCGUGAGAUGUUGGGUUAAGUCCCGCAACGAGCGCAACCCUUGUCAUUAAUUGCCAUCAUUUAGUUGGGCACUUUAAUGAGACUGCCGGUGACAAACCGGAGGAAGGUGGGGAUGACGUCAAGUCCUCAUGGCCCUUA
rnacentral:rRNA from 1 species